rnacentral:rRNA from 1 species
CGGGUGAGUAACACGUAUGCGACCUGCCCGUUGCAGGGGGAUAAUCGGGAGAAAUCCCGUCUAAUACCGCGUAAUGCCGCGGGGCUGCAUGGCCCUGCGGCCAAAGGGAGCGAUUCCGGCAACGGAUGGGCAUGCGUGACAUUAGCUAGUUGGCGGGGCAACGGCCCACCAAGGCGACGAUGUCUAGGGGUUCUGAGAGGAAGGUCCCCCACACUGGUACUGAGACACGGACCAGACUCCUACGGAAGGCAGCAG